AUGCUGGAGGUAUCAGAAGUGCGAAUGCUGACGUGAGUAACGACAAAACGGGUGAAAAACCCGUUCGCUGAAAGACCAAGGGUUCCAGUCCAACGUUAAUCGGGGCUGGGUGAGUCGACCCCUAAGGCGAGGCCGAGAGGCGUAGUCGAUGGGAAAUUGGUUAAUAUUCCAAUACUUCUGUGUAAUGCGAUGAGAGGACGGAGAAGGUUAAGUCAGCCUGGCGUUGGUUGUCCAGGUGGAAGGUUGUAGGCAUGUAUCUUAGGCAAAUCCGGGGUACUCUAUGCUGAGAACUGAUAGCAAGCUGUACUUGUACAGUGAAGUGGCUGAUACCAUGCUUCCAGGAAAAGUCUCUAAGCUUCAGUUACACAGGAAUCGUACCCGAAACCGACACAGGUGGUCAGGUCGAGUAGACCAAAGCGCUUGAGAGAACUCUGCUGAAGGAACUAGGCAAAAUGGUACCGUAACUUCGGGAGAAGGUACGCUGCUGACGGUGAUGGGACUUGCUCCCUGAGCUAUUGGCAGCCACAGAAACCAGGCCGCUGCAACUGUUUAUUAAAAACAUAGCACUCUGCAAACACGAAAGUGGACGUAUAGGGUGUGAUGCCUGCCCGGUGCUGGAAGGUUAAUUGAUGGGGUUAGCGUAAGCGAAGCUCUUGAUCGAAGCCCCAGUAAACGGCGGCCGUAACUAUAACGGUCCUAAGGUAGCGAAAUUCCUUGUCGGGUAAGUUCCGACCUGCACGAAUGGCAUAAUGAUGGCGGCGCUGUCUCCAGCAGAGGCUCAGUGAAAUCGAAAUCGCUGUGAAGAUGCAGUGUACCCGCGGCUAGACGGAAAGACCCCGUGAACCUUUACUGCAGCUUGACAUUGAACUUUGACCUUACUUGUGUAGGAUAGGUGGGAGGCUUUGAAGUUGGAACGCUAGUUCCAAUGGAGCCGUCCUUGAAAUACCACCCUGGUAAUGUUGAGGUUCUAACUCUGCCCCGUAAUCCGGGGCGAGGACCAUGUCUGGUGGGUAGUUUGACUGGGGCGGUCUCCUCCUAAAGAGUAACGGAGGAGUACGAAGGUGCGCUCAGCGUGGUCGGAAAUCACGCGUAGAGUAUAAAGGCAAAAGCGCGCUUAACUGCGAGACCCACAAGUCGAGCAGGUACGAAAGUAGGUCUUAGUGAUCCGGUGGUUCUGUAUGGAAGGGCCAUCGCUCAACGGAUAAAAGGUACUCUGGGGAUAACAGGCUGAUACCGCCCAAGAGUUCAUAUCGACGGCGGUGUUUGGCACCUCGAUGUCGGCUCAUCUCAUCCUGGGGCUGAAGCAGGUCCCAAGGGUAUGGCUGUUCGCCAUUUAAAGAGGUACGCGAGCUGGGUUUAGAACGUCGUGAGACAGUUCGGUCCCUAUCUACCGUGGGCGCUGGAAAUUUGAGAGGAUCUGCUCCUAGUACGAGAGGACCAGAGUGGACGAACCUCUGGUGUACCGGUUGUGACGCCAGUCGCAUCGCCGGGUAGCUAUGUUCGGAAGGGAUAACCGCUGAAAGCAUCUAAGCGGGAAGCCUACCUCAAGAUAAGAUUUCCCUAGGAAUUUAUUCCUCUAAAGAGCCGUUCGAGACUAGGACGUUGAUAGGUUGGGUGUGGAAGCACGGUGACGUGUGAAGCUGACCAAUACUAAUUGCUCGUGAGGCUUGACUAU
rnacentral:rRNA from 1 species